rnacentral:lncRNA from 1 species
CAGGCAAUCCAAACGCUGCUAUUACUGGGGAGUAAAAGCUCUGCAUAAUUAACAAACAUCAUCAGCCUUACAGUUCCUGUAGAAUGCGGCACUGUUCUUCAUUUACUUCUCAAUGUCCUUUCUCUGAGGCUACUAAGCUUUUAAGAGGUGAGACUUGGGGUGUCAAUAGCUUGAAACCCUCC